rnacentral:rRNA from 1 species
GAUGAACGCUGGCGGCGUGCCUAAUACAUGCAAGUCGAGCGAACAGACGAGGAGCUUGCUCCUCUGACGUUAGCGGCGGACGGGUGAGUAACACGUGGAUAACCUACCUAUAAGACUGGGAUAACUUCGGGAAACCGGAGCUAAUACCGGAUAAUAUAUUGAACCGCAUGGUUCAAUAGUGAAAGACGGUUUUGCUGUCACUUAUAGAUGGAUCCGCGCCGCAUUAGCUAGUUGGUAAGGUAACGGCUUACCAAGGCAACGAUGCGUAGCCGACCUGAGAGGGUGAUCGGCCACACUGGAACUGAGACACGGUCAAGACUCCUACGGGAGGCAGCAGUAGGGAAGCGUCCGCAAUGGGCGAAAGCAUGACGGAGCAACGCCGCGUGAGUGAUGAAGGUCUUCGGAUCGUAAAACUCUGUUAUUAGGGAAGAACAAAUGUGUAAGUAACUAUGCACGUCUCGACGGUACCUAAUCAGAAAGCCACGGCUAACUACGUG